CUGUACAAGGGCAUACAAGUAUAUAAAAAAGAGGACAUGAAUAUAAGUGGUUUAUGGAAAAGCCUUGAAAAUGAGUCUUUAACAAUAACGAAAAUAAACUUUUUAAAUCCUUUUAAUAUAAAACAGAAUUUGGAGCAAUUAAAAAGAAAAAGAGAUGCUGACAAUAUGGGUAGUGGUUUGACAAAUGGAGAAGAUAUAACCGACUUAACACAAGAUAUGUCAAGUUUUCAAGAAUAUAUACAUAGCCAACAGAAUAAAAUGAAAAAAAAAAAAAAAAAUUGGAAGAAGCAACUUAAUGAAUUUACGAAGUAAACUUUCAAGCGAUACAAUGAAAGACGAGGAGAAUGAUGAGGAUAACGAAGAUAAGCGCUUCGAAUAUUUUAAAAAAAUGAGAAACGAACGUACAAACAUAAAUGAAAAUAACAAUAAUGAUCAAAUUGCAGAUUUAAGAGAAGAGUUCAAGAGCAUACAUGAUGAUACAUAUCAAGAAACAUUAGGAAACAAUAACCUUAAUUAUAAGCAUACGUAUAAUAUAAGGAGAACUUUACAUGAAGAAAAAACAGAUUUUGAAGGAAUUACAUUAGAAAGUAUCGAAAAAGAAAAAAAGCUUCUUAUACAAAAUGAUAUGAGGGAACUGAAGGACAAAUCAUUCUAUAUAUGUAAAAAUGUAAAAUUCCCCCAAUUAAAAACUGAAAGUGAACAUAUCGAAAAAAGAAAUAGGAGAGAAUAUGUAGACAAAGAACUUCAAAAAUAUAUUAAUCCUAAAUCGAAGAAGAAAAGUACUGUCACGUCAGAAAUAAAAAGUGAAACCAUCAAAGCUAACACACCAUCAGAAAAAGGAUCGAAAAGUUUGAAUCUUUUUUUAAAGAAACAAAAAAAAAAACUAUCAAAAGAAAAUAUAAAUCCGAGUAAAAAUUAAAAAGUAUAUUUUUUAUUUAUAUCAUAAAGUUUAAAUAAGUGAUAAAAGU
rnacentral:lncRNA from 1 species